rnacentral:snoRNA from 1 species
ACUUUCAGAUUACUUACCCCUUGGAUCUAAAUAUUGGUGUAAGUGGCUAAAAAAGGAGAAAACAUAAAACUGAAGUGGACUUGGACUCUUAAUGACAUGACAUCCAAGUUCAUUUUGAACAAAA